CAGUCGCCGCGGGAAUACGGAGGGGGCUAGCGUUACUCGGAAUUACUGGGCGUAAAGCGUGCGUAGGUGGUGGUUUAAGUCCGUUGUGAAAGCCCUGGGCUCAACCUGGGAAUUGCAGUGGAUACUGGGUCACUAGAGUGUGGUAGAGGAUAGUGGAAUUUCCGGUGUAGCAGUGAAAUGCGUAGAGAUCGAGAGGAACAUCAGUGGCGAAGGCGGCCAUCUGGGACAACACUGACGCUGAAGCACGAAAGCGUGGGGAGCAAACAGGAUUAGAUACCCCGGUAGUCCCUGUCUCUUAUAC
rnacentral:rRNA from 1 species